AACGAACGCUGGCGGCGCGCCUAAUACAUGCAAGUCGAGCGAGAAGACGUAGCAAUACGUUUGUAAAGCGGCGAACGGGUGAGGAAUACAUGGGUAACCUACCCUCGAGUGGGGAAUAACUAGCCGAAAGGUUAGCUAAUACCGCGUACGCUCCUUGGACUUCGGUUCAGGGAGGAAAGCGAUACCGUGGGUAUCGCGCUCUUGGAUGGGCUCAUGUCCUAUCAGCUUGUUGGUGAGGAACGGCUCACCAAGGCUUCGACGGGUAGCUGGUCUGAGAGGACAAUCAGCCACACUGGCACUGCGACACGGGCCAGACUCCUACGGGAGGCAGCAGUAAGGAAUAUUGCGCAAUGGGCGAAAGCCUGACGCAGCGACGCCGCGUGGGGGAUGAAGGUCUUCGGAUUGUAAACCCCUUUCGGGAGGGAAGAUGGAACGAGCAAUCGUUCGGACGGUACCUCCACGAAGCAGCCACGGCUAACUUCGUGCCAGCA
rnacentral:rRNA from 1 species